UUGGAGGGCAAGUCUGGUGCCAGCAGCCGCGGUAAUUCCAGCUCCAAUAGCGUAUAUUAAAGUUGUUGCAGUUAAAAAGCUCGUAGUUGAAUUUCGGGAUUGACACGUCGGUCGUGCCUUAAGGGGUAUGAACUGGCGUAGUCAAUUUCUCACCUUCUGGAGAACCGCGAUGUCCUUAAUUGGGUGCCGCGAGGAACCAGGACCUUUACUUUGAAAAAAUUAGAGUGUUUAAAGCAGGCAUUUUGCUUGAAUACAUUAGCAUGGAAUAAUAAAAUAGGACGGCAUGAUUCUAUUUUGUUGGUUCCUAGGAUCACCGUAAUGAUUAAUAGGGAUAGUUGGGGGCAUUAGUAUUCAAUUGUCAGAGGUGAAAUUCUUGGAUUUAUUGAAGACUAACUACUGCGAAAGCAUAUGCCAAGGAUGUUUUCAUUAAUCAAGAACGAAAGUUAGGGGAUCGAAGACGAUCAGAUACCGUCGUAGUCUUAACCAUAAACUAUGCCGACUAGGAAUCAGACGAUGUUAAUUUUUUAAUGACUCGUUUGGCACCUUACGGGAAACCAAAGUGUUUGGGUUC
rnacentral:rRNA from 1 species